UUUCUGUUUGCCGUUAAUCGUCCGUCUCCCGCACAGUAGGUGUGUUUGUUCCACUACUGUUGCUAACUUCAAUUAGGUCGCCGCGAGCCCGAGGUAGAUGUUUGUUCGAUUGUAGCCGGAAGGAAAACUAGAUUUUGAGUAUCGUUUGGAGCAACAUACUUUGAAAUCGUUUUUCAUUCACUCCCGGAGGGCGUGAACAUAAGCUCAAAAUCUACCUGCCGUAGUAUGACGACAUACAAAUACCCGUGCUGCGAUCAAGGCGAGGACUACGAUGCCAGUGUCCUGUGCGAUAAGUGUCGUGAAUGGUACCAUUUCGAAUGUGUGGGCGUCGACGACAGUGUGGACGAAGUCGUCUGGUACUGUGGAACCUGCCUAGGCGAGGAUUGUUCCAUCCGUGCUUCAUUGGGUGCCCCCGGCAAGACCGCCAUUUCUCCAAUGGUAUUCGCACA